CACUUGGUAUAAAGUCCAGCAAGAGGUCUCUGGUAGAUCAGUUGGCUCGAAAGCAGAAUGGAUGAGUUUCUGUUCCUCUGUUCUCUCAUCUGUGGCAGCAGACAACAAGGACUUAUGAUGAUUUCAUCCUGAGAGAUUCAGCUUGCAGUCCUUUUCAAUUCAUUCUGUUUGACGAGAUCAAAAUCCAGGCAUGAAGUGCUUGAGGCAGAAUAAGAGUACAAGGGACUGGUGCUACCAAAGGAAUUCAACUGCAUGAAAAGGGACUGAUGGACCCACCAUGAAUUUGAGCUUUAGAUAUGACUUCAUUGUUGGUUUAGCACUUUUUAAGCUCU